UUUUACUAUCUUUAUUAUUACCCCACCCCCUGAAGGGGAGGCAAGGGGUAUUGUUUCUGGUUCGGUUUGUUCUUUGUUAACACUUUAGUGGCAAAACUAUUGAUGAAUUCAAAAU